rnacentral:misc_RNA from 1 species
UCGUGACGAUGAGUCACGAUUCUAAAUAUGGAAUGUCACAAGUAGCAACACCGAAACGGAAGCCCGCUAAUUUUUCUAUCAGUAAGUGAAUCUUGUCUAUGUCUUAAAUCUUGUCUUGACAAGCUAGUUUUCUAAGAAAGUAGUUAAAGUGAGUUUAACUUUUAUAUGAGUGAAAAAGUGCAGAAAGUCCCGCUGAUGCUGUUACUAAAGCUACGUAGUGGUGAUAUAACUCCCUUUUAUUAAUUUGACUAUAAUUUUACUAACGAUGAUGCCAAAUUCUGUUUAAUAACUUGUGUUUAAAAUGGCCGGCCGGCAAUGCGACUUGUAAAGAUAGAUGAGUACUCUUUAGGGGGCAUCAAUAAGUAAUGCCCACAAUUGAAGACGUUGUCUGUAUGCAUAGCUUGCAAUUGUAGAAGCCUUCCUUGGCUACCGUUGUCCAAAUGAGUAGCCCGCAAUCGUAGAAGUAUUUCCUGGCCAGGUUGCAUCUAAGAGUAUGGUGCACUGUUAUGAGAGGCUUUCUUGGUCAUGUAAGUGCUGGCGUGCACACUGUUAUGAGAGGCUUUCUUGGCCACGUAAGUGCUGGCGUGCACACUGUUAUGAGAGGCUUUCUUGGCCAUGUAAGUGCUGGCGUGCACACUGUUAUGAGAGGCUUUCUUGGCCACGUAAGUGCUGGCGUGCACACUGUUAUGAGAGGCUUUCUUGGCCAUGUAAGUGCUGGCGUGCACACUGUUAUGAGAGGCUUUCUUGGCCAUGUAAGUGCUGGCGUGCACACUGUUAUGAGAGGCUUUCUUGGCCACGUAAGUGCUGGCGUGCACACUGUUAUGAGAGGCUUUCUUGGCCAUGUAAGUGCUGGCGUGCACACUGUUAUGAGAGGCUUUCUUGGCCAUGUAAGUGCUGGCGUGCACACUGUUAUGAGAGGCUUUCUUGGCCAUGUAAGUGCUGGCGUGCACACUGUUAUGAGAGGCUUUCUUGGCCACGUAAGUGCUGGCGUGCACACUGUUAUGAGAGGCUUUCUUGGCCAUGUAAGUGCUGGCGUGCACACUGUUAUGAGAGGCUUUCUUGGCCAUGUAAGUGCUGGCGUGCACACUGUUAUAAGAGGCUUUCUUGGCCACCUAAGUGCUGGCGUGCACAACGUUGAAGAGGUCUUCCUUGACCACCUAAGUGCUGGCGUGCACACUGUUAUAAGAGGCUUUCUUGGCCACCUAAGUGCUGGCGUGCACACCGUUGAAGAGGUCUUCCUUGACCACCUAAGUGCUGGCGUGCACACUGUUAUAAGAGGCUUUCUUGGCCACCCAAGUGCUGGCGGGCACACUGAUGAAUAGGGCCUUCUUGGCCACCCAAGUGCUGGCAUGCACACUAAUGAAUAAGUCUUACUCGGCUAACUAAGUGCUGAUAAGCACACCAUUGAAAGGGUCAUGUAUAAGAGGGCAAUUAACUGACAUAAAGUAAUACCUAAGAGUAACUAAUAAGAUCACAUACGCUGGUGUUCAGCCAGAGUCAUUAAGAGAGAUAAGCUUACAUUCUGCAGGGUGAUGUGUCACCAAGUAGGUGGUAGUUGUAUCACCAAACAGUAGUUCAUUUAUGUUUCUUAAACUUACAGAUGGAGAAGUAAUCCGUAUCCAUGAGGUGAAAGGAAAGGUGUAAGGAAAGCCAUAUUGAGGAUCUGAUCACUGACAUAGGAACCUAUGAAUGGAGAAGUAAUCCGUAUCCAUGAGGUGAAAGGAAAGGUGUAAGGAAAGCCAUAUUGAGGAUCUGAUCACUGACAUAGGAACCUAUGAGUGAGUAAGAGUUACAUCCUAUCUACACAUACUGACUGGUAUUCGCGACGUCAGUCUAGUAUGUGUGCAUUCACAUCCCUACAAUAGAUUCAUAAUUCUUUGAUUAUAUACAUAAUUAUAGAUAGAUAUAUAUAAGUGUAAAAGAGUCGUCGCGA